AUCCAGUUUCAGCUUUCUACAUAUGGCUAGCCAGUUUUCCCAGCACCAUUUAUUAAAUAGGGGAUCCUUUCCCCGUUGCUUGUUUUUCUCAGGUUUGUCAAAGAUCAGAUAGUUUUAGAUAUGCGGCAUUAUUUCUGAGGCUCUGUUCUGUUCCAUUGAUCUAUAUCUCUGUUUUGGUACCAGUACCAUGCUGUUUUGGUUACUGUAGGCUUGUAGUAUAGUUUGAAGUCAGGUAGUGUGAUGCCUCCAACUUUGUUCUUUUGGCUUAGGAUUGACUUGGCGAUGUGGGCUCUUUUUUGGUUCCUUAUGAACUUUAAAGUAGUUUUUUCCAAUUCUGUGAAGAAAGUCAUUGGUAACUUGAUGGGGAUGGCAUUGAAUCUAUAAAUUACCUUGGGCAGUAUGGCCAUUUUCACGAUAUUGAUUCUUCCUACCCAUGAGCAUGGAAUGUUCUUCCAUUUCUUUGUAUCCUCUUUUAUUUCCUUGAGCAGUGUUUUGUAGUUCUCCUUGAAGAGGUCCUUCACGUCCCUUGUAAGUUGGAUUCCUAGGUAUUUUAUUCUCUUUGAAGCAAUUGUGAAUGGGAGUUCACUCAUGAUUUGGCUCUCUGUUUGUCUGUUAUUGGUGUAUAAGAAUGCUUGUGAUUUUUGUACAUUUAUUUUGUAUCCUGAGACUUUGCUGAAGUUGCUUAUCAACAUAAGGAGAUUUUGGGCUGAGACACUGGGGUUUUCUAGAUAUAAAAUCAUGUCAUCUGCAAACAGGGACAAUUUGACUUCCUCUUUUCCUAAUUGAAUACCCUUUAUUUCCUUCUCCUGCCUGAUUGAUUGCUCUGGCCAGAACUUCCAACACUCUGUUAAAUCGGAGUGGUGAGAGAGGGCAUCUUGUAAUCCAGCCUGGCACUCGUGAUUCACCUUUGUAAGAUCCCAAUUAUUAUUAAGCAGAAAAAGAAAGAAUAGCUACAAAGUAGGAUAUUUCAUUAGAGUUAGGAAACCGCCAGAAAAAAAAUGUACACUUCAUAUUUAAUAAAAAAUAAACACAUUAUAUAAGCUAAUUGUGUUAUUUAAUGGGAUUUAGCCCGAUGGAAAGUUUAUUAAAAAAAAAAAAAGUGGCCCGGUGCGGUGGCUCACGCCUGUAAUUCCAGCACUUUGGGAGGCGGAGGCGGGCGAAUCACGAGGCCAGGAGAUCGAGACCAUCCUGGCUAACACGGUGAAACCCGUCUCUACUAAAAAUACAAAAAAUUAGCCGGGCGUGGUGGCGGGCCCAUGUGGUCCCAGCUACUCCGGAGGCUG
rnacentral:lncRNA from 1 species